rnacentral:misc_RNA from 1 species
UUUCCGUAGGUGAACCUGCGGAAGGAUCAUUAUAAAUGAAAAACGAAUAACUUCAGGGAAGAAGGGAACCUGCACGGUGGCCUCCCCUGUCGGGCCACCCAAUACCUUCAAAAUGCCGCCGUCCUAGCGGUGGCAGACGAAAAAAAAACAAGAAAAACAAAAUAGAAACAGGCACGGUGGCCCGUUCACCUUCACACAACCCUCCGAGUACCGCUUCCAUGUUGCUUCCCCGCAAAUCCACCUCUUUGGUGAGCGCGGGGGAGGUCCGCAUCAAAUUCACCUGAAUGUCACAGCAGUCAGACAGCCAUUCAUGGAAACAAUAAAACUUUCAACAACGGAUCUCUUGGUUCCC